AAAACAGAUAUAGAAACUCAUAGGGUAUGUUACAGAGCUGGAGACUGAGCAGAUCACAGUCUCUCCUUCUGAGUACAUUAUGGGCCAGCCCAAAUCAACAUGCUCUUUAUUUGGGUACAAAGAAGAGGGUGGAUUCUGCACAGCCCUAAUCAGUACCAUCCAAUUUGUUGUUCUCUGUACAGAAGUUUCACAAAGUGAAAAUGGAGGGAAUUGGGUCCACUUAUUUCAUCUUGAGUCAUUUGGUGGCUUCCAGCAAUACACUUUCCAGAAGGUUCCAGUGUGUUCCACCCCAGAAAGUGUUUAUGAUGCAACUGGCUGUGCGGCAUGAAAGAGGAGAGUGACAUUGGUACAACAUUAUACCACUUGGGUGCAAUUCCAUGUUCUACUAAAGCAAUAAUUCACCAGCAAAAUCUUUUAGAUUGGACUUCAGAGGCAUAUGUAGGAAAUGUCUGAAAAUAAAUUUAAAAACAUAUUUCUUUUGACUUGCA
rnacentral:lncRNA from 1 species